rnacentral:rRNA from 1 species
ACCUGGAGAUAGCUGGUUCUCUCCGAAAUAGCUUUAGGGCUAGCCUCAAGUGAUGAUUAUUGGAGGUAGAGCACUGUUUGGACGAGGGGCCCCUCUCGGGUUACCGAAUUCAGACAAACUCCGAAUGCCAAUUAAUUUAACUUGGGAGUCAGAACAUGGGUGAUAAGGUCCGUGUUCGAAAGGGAAACAGCCCAGACCACCAGCUAAGGUCCCAAAAUAUAUGUUAAGUGGAAAAGGAUGUGGCGUUGCCCAGACAACUAGGAUGUUGGCUUAGAAGCAGCCAUCAUUUAAAGAGUGCGUAAUAGCUCACUAGUCGAGUGACACUGCGCCGAAAAUGUACCGGGGCUAAACAUAUUACCGAAGCUGUGGAUUGUCCUUUGGACAAUGGUAGGAGAGCGUUCUAAGGGCGUUGAAGCAUGAUCGUAAGGACAUGUGGAGCGCUUAGAAGUGAGAAUGCCGGUGUGAGUAGCGAAAGACGGGUGAGAAUCCCGUCCACCGAUUGACUAAGGUUUCCAGAGGAAGGCUCGUCCGCUCUGGGUUAGUCGGGUCCUAAGCUGAGGCCGACAGGCGUAGGCGAUGGAUAACAGGUUGAUAUUCCUGUACCACCUAUAAUCGUUUUAAUCGA